rnacentral:rRNA from 1 species
ACCCGCUGCCUUUAAGCAUAUUAAUAAGCGGAGGAAAAGAAACUAACCAGGAUUCCCCCAGUAACGGCGAGCGAAGUGGGAACAGCUCGAGCCUGAAAUCCCCGGCGUUGCACGCCGGAGAAUUGUGGCCGGGAGAGGCAGCCGCGCCCCGACUGGUGCUGUCGAAGUUGACCUGGAAAGGCACGUCAGAGAGGGUGAGAGCCCCGUGCGCGACACCGCCGGUCGGGGACGCUACUGUCUUCGGAGAGUCGGGUUGUUUGGGAAUGCAGCCCAAAGUGGGUGGUAGACUCCAUCUAAAGCUAAAUACUGGCACGAGACCGAUAGCGAACAAGUACC